GGGGAGAUACCUCCCCGCGAGGGUUCGAAUCCCUCUCUCUCCG
rnacentral:tRNA from 1 species